rnacentral:lncRNA from 1 species
CCACUGCCUGCUGACAUCAGCAGAAGUGGUAGCCUGAUCCAAUCACAAUGCUUCCCCAUAGGAUUGGCUGAGACUGACAAAGAGGCAGAUCAGGGGCAGAGCCAGCAUGAUUCAAACACAGCCCUGGCCAAUCAGCAUCUCCUCAUAGAGAUGAAUUGAAUCAAUGAAUCUCUAUGAGGAAAGUUCAGUGUCUGCAUGCAGAGGGAG